UGGGGAAUAUUGCACAAUUGGCGCAAGCCUGAUGUAGCCAUGCCGCGUGUGUGUAGAAGGCCUUCGGGUUGUAAAGCACUUUCAGCGGGGAGGAAGGCGAUAAGGUUAAUAACCUUGUCGAUUGACGUUACCCGCAGAAGAAGCACCGGCUAACUCCGUGCCAUCAGCCGCGGUAAUACGGAGGGUGCAAGCGUUAAUCGGAAUUACUGGGCGUAAAGCGCACGCAGGCGGUUUGUUAAGUCAGAUGUGAAAUCCCCGGGCUCAACCUGGGAACUGCAUCUGAUACUGGCAAGCUUGAGUCUCGUAGAGGGGGGUAGAAUUCCAGGUGUAGCGGUGAAAUGCGUAGAGAUCUGGAGGAAUACAGGUGGCGAAGGCGGCCCCCUGGACGAAGACUGACGCUCAGGUGCGAAAGAGUGGGGAGCAAACAGG
rnacentral:rRNA from 1 species